UGCAUACUCCCUCCGUCCGAAAAAGCUUGUCCCUCAAAUGAAUGUAUCUAGCACAAAGUUAGUGCUAGAUACAUCGAUUUGAGAGACAAUCUUGGGACAAGCUUUUCCGGACGGAGGGAGUACAUG
rfam:Triticum aestivum genome assembly, contig: Triticum_aestivum_CS42_TGACv1_scaffold_061103_1DL